CAUAUCCCUUUAUAUUUCAGCACAUCCUCACCAGCCCAGCCAAGCCACAGCAAAACAUCCUCCAUACAGUCUGAGAAUUUUCACUCCACCUGCUCACUUCUCUGCUGUGGGAACCUUGAUCUUAACCACUCCCCCGAUGUCCAAUGCCAGCAGUGAAAUCAGCCUAGGAUAUUUGGUCUUCUAUCAUGUGUGUCAACAAGUCAUCAGCCUUCAAUAACAUCUGAAUACAUCUGGAUGGUGCCCAUUAACUUAAAAAAAAAAACCCAAAAUAUAAUUCUAUCUAGUUUUUUUUUUUUUUUGGGUGCAAGACCAUGGGCUU